AUGAAUUUAAUGUUACGCUAUGGACCUGCUAGUGGUUCAAGUUUCAUUGCAAGAGACAUGACAUUUGGUGCAGCUACUAUAUGGACCUCCGAAGCAGUGGCCCUCUGUGUCGCAUCCUAUCAGUGGUAUACCCUUGCAACAUCAUCAUAUAUAAGACACAGUGGUAUAUUAUCAAAUUUCUUUUCAGGUACUCUUGAAUCCAGCCCCUGCAUAUCUGUUGAGAUAAAGGUAUGUUCUCAAAAUUUCAUACAUUAA